rnacentral:lncRNA from 1 species
UAAAGUAAACAGCCUCCAACAAGUGAACCUUGACAACCCAGAUUAAGGAAGGCAGGAGAGAUCAAACAAAGCUGCUGCUGGGCUGUUGUCAGGAGCUGCCUCACUGAAAGCUCUGGACUAUUCGAUCAGGCAGCAAGGCUAUAUGUUCACUUAUGCAGAAAUGGACCAUUACAAAUGCCGAGCUUUGUUGUGAAACCAAAGGAUAACUUUGAGAAAAAUAACUACUAUUUCAAACAAGGUUUUCUCUUGCUUAAGAUUUUGACUGCAAACGUGACAGCGUCAGACGUGUGAUCUUUAAGUCAACUCUCCUCUGCGGGUCCGACUGCAGAUGAAAUGGCCCGGAGCACCGUGCUGCAGGGUCUGUUGCCACUGCUGAUUUAAUUGAUUUUUCAGACAGAAAGGCCUUACGAUUCCUGCCCCCUCCUCCCAAAUUUUGGAAGACGUGUGAAGGUGUUUCCCGCAGUACGAGCACCCGCGCUGGCUGCCCGCGACCCCCCGUCGGUCUCGGCGUGUUGCUGCUACCCAUCAGGGUCCGGUGUCUUCCCGCGGGCUCCCCACGGGGUCUUAACCGCUCUAGAGCUGUCCGUGCCCGGAUGAAGACGCCCUUGCCUCGCUGCCCGUUGGAGCCGCUGCCCGUCCCGUUUUGUGCUCCCGGGGYGCUGCCGGAGUCGCUGCCCCCUCCCGCGUUUCACCUUUAUCUUCGUGGCACCGUCGCUCCCACGGCCACCUUCGCUUCCCACCGAACGCGCGCUCCUGUCUGGGGCUCGGUCCUUGGCUUCGCGGCAGGAUAA